UUUAAGGGCCGCGGUAUNCUGACUGUGCGAAGGUAGCAUAAUCAUUAGGUUUUUAAUUGGGAUCUUGUAUGAAUGAUUGGACAAAAGAAAUACUGUCUUUAUAUUAAAAUUUGAAUUUAACUUUUAAGUGAAAAGGCUUAAAUGUUCUAAAGGGACGAUAAGACCCUAUAAAGCUUUACAUUAAUAAUUAAGAUAUUAUUUAUUUUUUUAAUAACAAUUAUAUUAGUUUUUUUGUUGUAUUGGGGAGAUAUAAGCUAUAAUUUAUAUUAACUGCUUAAGAAAAAACCAAUAAAUUAAUGAGAGAUUAGUAGAUCCUUUUUAAAGAUUAAAAGAUUAAGUUACUUUAGGGAUAACAGCGUUAUUUUUUUUAAGAGUUCAUAUCGAAAAAAAAGAUUGCGACCUCGAUGUUGAAUUAAAAUAUCUUUAUAAUGUAGGUGUUAUAUAAGAAGGUCUGUUCGACCUUUAAUUUUUUACGUGAUC
rnacentral:rRNA from 1 species